rnacentral:rRNA from 1 species
UACGGGGGGAGCGAGCGUUAUUCGUCAUGACUGGGCGUAAAGGAGAUCUGCAGGUGGCGAUAAAAAUUUUUUAUUUAUAAAGCCUUAUGGGAAGUCAUGAGGAGGGUGAUAUUUAAAUUUUUAUGAGCUAAGAGUAUACUGGAUGAUUAUAGUACCUACAGUGGAGAGGGUGGAAUUCGGAGAUACUGUUUAGGGACUCGCAAUAUGUGAAGACGAUAAUCGUCGGUAUUACUGACGCUUGAGGGGUGAGAGCAUGGGGAGCAAACAGG